rnacentral:rRNA from 1 species
CUUUGGGUGUGCCCUGGUCUAAGUUCCUGGAACAGGACGUCAUAGAGGGUGAGAAUCCCGUAUGUGACUAGGUGCCUUCGCCCGUGUAAAGCUCUUUCGACGAGUCGAGUUGUUUGGGAAUGCAGCUCAAAAUGGGUGGUAAAUUUCAUCUAAAGCUAAAUACUGGCCAGAGACCGAUAGCGCACAAGUAGAGUGAUCGAAAGAUGAAAAGCACUUUGGAAAGAGAGUUAAACAGCACGUGAAAUUGUUGAUAGGGAAGCGCUUGCAACCAGACUUGGGGGCGGCCGAUCAUCUAGGGUUCUCCCUAGUGCACUCGAGUCCGCUUCCAGGCCAGCAUCGGUUUGGGUGGUGGGAGAAAGGCCGGGGGAAUGUAGCUUCCUUCGGGGAGUGUUAUAGCCCUCGGUGCCAUGCCGCCUACCUGGACCGAGGACCGCGCUUCGGCUAGGAUGCUGGCGUAAUGGUUGUAAGCGACCCGUCUUGAAACACGGACCAAGGAGUCUAACAUCUAUGCGAGUAUUUGGGUGUCAAACCCAUCUGCGUAAUGAAAGUGAACGGAGGUGAGAACCCUGAAGGGUGCAUCAUCGACCGAUCCUGACGUCUUCGGAUGGAUUUGAGUAAGAGCAUAGCUGUUGGGACCCGAAAGAUGGUGAACUAUGCCUAAAUAGGGUGAAGCCAGAGGAAACUCUGGUGGAGGCUCGCAGCGGUUCUGACGUGCAAAUCGAUCGUCAAAUUUGGGUAUAGGGGCGAAAGACUAAUCGAACCAUCUAGUAGCUGGUUCCUGCCGAAGUUUCCCUCAGGAUA